GACGGAGGGUGCUAGCGUUGUUCGGAAUCACUGGGCGUAAAGCGCGCGCAGGCGGCUCUUUAAGUCUAUGGGUGAAAGACCGGGGCUCAACCCCGUGUCAGCCCGGGAUACUGGGGAGCUAGGGACAUGUAGGGGCGAGCGGAAUUCCGGGUGUAGCGGUGGAAUGCGUAGAGAUCCGGAAGAACACCGGGGCGAAGGCGGGUUGCUGGGCUGACACUGACGCUGAGGCGCGAAAGCGUGGGGAGCGAACAGG
rnacentral:rRNA from 1 species